ensembl:lncRNA
UUUAUGAAUGUAGCAAUAUUCCUUCACUUUUCUCUUAGUAUGCAAUAUAUAAAGUUUCAUGUGUACGUGAUAACAAGGGCCAAAAUUUCACUGUGGAAGGAAAAGUAAAGCAAGGUGGAAUAAAACUCCUAGAAAAUGAGAGGAACUUGAUCAUGUGGAACUAAACAGGAGAAGGAUCCCUCUGGGCAACUACCUAUCAUAAGAGAUGAGAAGAUGCAAAGAUGAAACUGUAAAUGAAAUUGUGCCAAAACUACAGACUUGCCAAAGAGAAAGCGGUCCCUGGAUCCAGGGGCAGAUGCAGAUGUGCACUGGCUGUGCAGACCCGUUGUGCAUUGAUAAAAACCUGCGUUGUCCCACCACAGCCCUGGCUACACCUCAGCAGACAAGAAAGGAUAUCUCCCCAUAAAGCCUUGGGGGACCCCGCACUGGAGAGCCUAGAGCUUGACCCUGAAUUCCCUUGUUCCGUUAUGCUGGAGUUAAUGACACCACUCUAAUCCCAGAAGGAGGAUUCAAGCUAUUAUUAGCAAGACCCAGGAUCUCUUCCUUACACUCAGUUCAUCCAAGGAGCACAGAUGGCAGCACAUGGAGGGAGGAUCCAGUGGGGUUUGGUGUGCCCUUGACCUCCAGAACCCCCAGAGCAUGCACUGGGUCCCUGAUACCCCCAAAUCCUCAUCUCAGUGACACUCUGCAGCCCAGCACUGGUUGUGUGGGCAGCAGGACAUGGCAUCCUGAUCCUGGCAAAAUCAAGGCUCCAAUUUCUGCACAUGGAGGCACUCA